GAAAUGCGAUAAGUAAUGUGAAUUGCAAAAUUCAGUGAAUCAUCGAAUCUUUGAACGCACCUUGCGCUCCUUGGUAUUCCUUGGAGCAUGCCUGUUUGAGUAUCAUGAAAUCUUCAAAGUAAAUCUUUUGUUAACUCAAUUGGUUUCUACUUUGGUAUUGGAGGUCUUUGCAGCUUCACACCUGCUCCUCUUUGUUCAUUAGCUGGAUCUCAGUGUUAUGCUUGGUUCCACUCGGCGUGAUAAGUUAUCUAUCGCUGAGGACACUGUAAAAGGUGGCCAAGGUAAAUGCAGAUGAACCGCUUCUAAUAGUCCAUUGACUUGGACAAUACUUUUAUGAUCUGAUCUCAAAUCAGGUAGGACUACCCGCUGAACUUAAGC
rnacentral:misc_RNA from 1 species